UCAUCGAAAAUAAAUGGGUGGCAACAGAGUUCGUUUGCUUCCGAUAUCAUUCCAGCUCAACUAUUAUAAGGACUGAGAUUUUGACAGUGCAACUAAACUCUCUGUUGACGAUGUUUUUGUGUGUAAUUUAAUUACAAAAGCACUCGUCAAAUUUUGGGAGAAAUCGAGUUAAAACGGAGAUUCUACGCGAUUUCCAAGUUUCACUUAAAGUGAAUAGUAACUCGAUUUUCCGGAGAAGCCACAGUGUGAAGUUGGCUUCAGGUUCGUAUCGGACUCCGUUCCUAGCGGUCCAAUAGCUCGUUUCGACCGGUUCAGCUGUUCUGGAACUAAUGGCGCUGACGGAUUUUGAGUUUGACGCACGGAUUUCGAGAAAAUCCAAAAAUACGCNUAGGGCAGUGCCUCGCACGCUUCCGGAUCAAUUAAGUAUUUAUUUGAAUUUAGCGAUAAUCUGUAAGUUGAUUUAUUUUCAUCAUAAAAUUUAGUUAGAUUUAAAUCACAAUCAGAUUUCUGUACGGUAAUUGUUCCAACAAUAAUUGUUGGCUUAAAUGUGCCAGCAUCCUACCCUGUGGCGUGAGGCCAUGUUGGGCUGAGUCAUGUUCAAAAUGGUGCAAGGCUGGGUGGGCCGAGUAAUGUUCGAAGUGGCGUGAAUUAAGCUGGUUAGGCCGAGUCACAAUCGAGACCCGUGGGCGCUGUAUCUGUACGCUUUAAGUGAAUUGGUUGCGUAUUUCUAACAGCUCGAGCUUUUGAAAUUAAUAGUUAGCGUCAAUAAUCCGACAAUAAUGUGAAUUAACUAGGUAAUUCGACAACUAA
rnacentral:lncRNA from 1 species